GUAGGAGGCAGAGAGCCGUCCAGUUUUCCCAUCCGGCUCCUGCUCCAUUAGCACUUGCCCAGAACUCCACUCUGGGGGUGACGGCCCAGAUUCCCUGCUGAUGAAAAGCAGCCCAGGCGCCUGCUUUGAGGGAGCAGUCCUGGCUAAGAGACCAAUUAACUGGCUCAAAAGCCCUUCUUUCCUAGGAGCUGAGCCAGUUCAGAAGAGAAGUUGUGACUGAGACCAGGAGAGGGUCAGAAGCCCCCUGGAUGCACCAUGCAAAGUGGGUCCACAGGAGGGGAAAAGCGCCAGGCCCAUCCGCCUCCACACGAGGGUGAUGUCAGCAAACCCAGGGAGCUCUCAGAGCCAAGAUGGCCUCAGACCCAGGAAGAAGUAGUUAUGGAUCUCCGUGGCUGAAGUGUUCUGUGUCCACAGGAGGUGCGAGAGGAAGAAGAAUGCACGGAAGGCGUGAAAUCAGGAGUGGCUGCUCUGAGGCUAAAGGCUGCUAGCCAGCCAUAGCAAGUCAGGGAUAUCGACCUCUGGAAAGCAAAAUUGGUGGAAAAUGGCUACCCGCUUUCCGAGGUACUUUGGGGGCACAAGUGGAAUAAAAAUCAGUCAUCAUUGCUCUGCCUAGAGCGAAACCAAAUGAAAAGAAGGCAAAUCAUAUUUCCUUGGAUGGUACCCCUGGCCUGACCCAUCCAUCCAUACCUCUUCUGUCAGGUAUUUGUGGCCAAGCACCAGCACCCAGCUUUCUCAAUAUUCACCCACGGAAUCCCAAAACUCAGCCCCAGCGCAAUCUACUCUACGGAACUUGAACACUCAAAGCCAUCCUGGGCAUCUCCUGACUUCUUCCCUCAGCAACUUCACUCCUUUCUUCCCUGUUGUCAGUGAUCACCACCAAAGUGUCUACAACUGCUCAGAUGUAGACAAACUAACCUCAAAGUGCUCACACAUACUCCUUCCUUUAUGGGUGAAGUUCUACAGUAAUUCAGUUAAAUUAACAAACAGAAAAUAUUUAAUUAACAAUUAACAAAUAGAAAUUCGAUAAAUGUAAACCUUUAAGUUUUCAUAUACAUGUUGUAUCUGCCUGGCUUUUAUAUCACUGACACAUGUUACAUACAAUAGAGGAAGGAAUUUUUUAGAUUAGUAUAGUUAUCCAAAUUAGUAACUGGUAGUGUUGAAUUAGGUACACUGCAAAAGAAAUAGAAAGCAAGUAUAUAUGCUUUUAGUUUUGAAAAUAUUCAAACUUAACAUUUAAGAUUAUAUUUCAAGAUGUGCCUCCACCUGACCAUAACAGUGAUGUCGCAGGGUGACAGCUUCUCUGAGACUCAGGUGUCCAUCUGGUCUCUCAUCUAGCCAUAGGCCCUCACAGCGGUCAAUAUGGUACCUACAAGUCAAGAGAGAGCAUGAACAAAGGCAUUCCUGGCUUAUUCUCAUGCACUCCAGCUGAAGACUCUAAGUGCAUCCAGGAUGCCCUCUGAUGCUCAGAAGGAGUAGACUUCGGCCCAGACAUCCAACUUAACACCAGCCUGCAUCAGCCACUCCUUCAGGAUGGACCAUCCAAUGAGACAUUUGAUGCACUUCAGUCAAAUGCCCCAAACUCAAGGCAACAUAAGUUAAAAGAAAUAAGUCACAGAUGGUGGACUCCCUUAGCCUAGAACCAGUGUCUUACUCAACAAAGUCUCUUCGUGGCCUGAUAAAAUUAAUGUUUCAUGGUACUUAAUAAAUACUAGCCGCUGAAUUCAUGAGCAAAUAAAUUUUUCCACACCUCAAACAUCAGAAAACCACCAGGGAAUUCCAAGAAGGUGAGAAGAAAUAAGGGGUGAUGUGUUCAUGUUGCUGGUAAGAAGAGAACUUUGUAGGAGG
ensembl:lncRNA